rnacentral:rRNA from 1 species
AUUGAACGCUGACGGCAGGCCUAACACAUGCAAGUCGAACGAGUGGCGGACGGGUGAGUAAUGUCUGGGAAACUGCCCGAUGGAGGGGGAUAACUACUGGAAACGGUAGCUAAUACCGCAUACCAUCGGAUGUGCCCAGAUGGGAUUAGCUAGUAGGUGGGGUACAGGCUCACCUAGGCGACGAGCCCUAGCUGGUCUGAGAGUAUGACCAGCCACACUGGAACUGUGACACGGUCCAGACUCCUACGGGAGGCAGCAGUGGGGAAUAUGGAACAAUGGGCGCAAGCCGGAUGCAGCCAUGCCGCGUGUAUGAAGAAGGCCUUCGGGUUGUAAAGUACUUUCAGCGAGGAGGCGUUACUCGCAGAAGAAGCACCGGCUAACUCCGUGCCAGCAGCCGCGGUAAUUC